rnacentral:rRNA from 1 species
AACCUUUCGGGUUCUUAAAGGUAGGGUUGAGUGCAACAGUAAACACGUUAAGCAUCCCGCCUGGGGACUACGGCCGCAAGGCUAAAACUCAAUGGAAUUGACGGGGACGCGCACAAGCAGUGGAGCGUGUGGUUUAAUUUGACGGUAAGCAAAGAACCUUACCAAGGCUUGACAUUUACCUGCACGCCUCUAGAAAUAGAGGAAGCCUUCGAGGGUGGUAAACAGACGCUGCAUGGCUGUCGUCAGCUCGUGUCGUGAGAUGUCCGGUUAAGUCCGGUAACGAGCGCAACCCUUAUCCCGUGUUAUAUGUGUCUCGGGAAACUGCCUGGCCAAAACCAGGAGGAAGGUGGGGAUGACGUCUAGUCCGCAUGGCUCUUACGCCUUGGGCUACACACGCGCUACAAUGGCAAGUACAACGAGCAGCAAAGGAGCGAUCCGGCGCUAAUCUCUUAAAGCUUGUCUCAGUUCGGAUUGAAGGCUGAAAUUCGCCUUCAUGAAGUUGGAAUUGCUAGUAAUCGUGGGUCAGCACACCACGGUGAAUACGUUCUCGCGUCUUGUACACACCGCCUGUCACGUCUCGAAAGCUGGGAGUACCUGAAGCCGUUUGAUUCUUCGGAUGAAAGCGAUUAAGGUAAAUUCAGUGAUUGAGAUGAAGUCGUAACAAGGUAGCCGUAGA